rnacentral:rRNA from 1 species
AUUGAACGCUGGCGGCAGGCUUAACACAUGCAAGUCGAGCGGGCGAGGUUGCUUCGGUAACUGAGCUAGCGGCGGACGGGUGAGUAAUGCUUAGGAAUCUGCCUAUUAGUGGGGGACAACAUUCCGAAAGAGAUGCUAAUACCGCAUACGCCCUACGGGGGAAAGCAGGGGAUCACUUGUGACCUUGCGCUAAUAGAUGAGCCUAAGUCGGAUUAGCUAGUUGGUGGGGUAAAGGCCUACCAAGGCGACGAUCUGUAGCGGGUCUGAGAGGAUGAUCCGCCACACUGGGACUGAGACACGGCCCAGACUCCUACGGGAGGCAGCAGUGGGGAAUAUUGGACAAUGGGGGGAACCCUGAUCCAGCCAUGUCGCGUGUGUGAAGAAGGCCUUUUGGUUGUAAAGCACUUUAAGCGAGGAGGAGGCGCUCUAGGUUAAUACCCUAGAUGCGUGGACGUUACUCGCAGAAUAAGCACCGGCUAACUCUGUGCCAGCCGCCGCAGUAACAC